UACGGGGGGGGCAAGCGUUGUUCGGAAUUACUGGGCGUAAAGGGUGCGUAGGUGGCGCCGUAAGUCAGGUGUGAAAUUUCGGAGCUUAACUCCGAAACUGCAUUUGAUACUGCGGUGCUUGAGGACUGGAGAGGAGACUGGAAUUUACGGUGUAGCAGUGAAAUGCGUAGAUAUCGUAAGGAAGACCAGUGGCGAAGGCGGGUCUCUGGACAGUUCCUGACACUGAGGCACGAAGGCCAGGGGAGCAAACGGG
rnacentral:rRNA from 1 species